ACAAGAAUCUUGUAGCGGUAGCAUUCCACGAGUUGAAUUUUGUCAGCAUCGUAUGUGGCUGACACAAGUCACACAUCCGCGCAGAAAAAUUUCUGUUCGAUUCGCUGAACAGUGACCGCAGAGCUCUUGGAUUAAAAGCGAUGGACAUGCCGCAACAAGCUAGUCCAGCUCAAACAGUGACCGCAGUGGCGUACCUUUGAGGAGAUGAAAGCUGAAAAGCCGCAUUAGCUGCCAAGAUUGACGGACUCAAGGUCGUCGCUGCAAGGGCAAGGGCGAUAAUAACCUUAGCAAAGGCGUGACAGUGCCACUGCCACAGCCCACAGGGCAUCGCCGCAUCGGAGGCGUGUGGACGUGAGAUGCUGUAACUGAUAAUACAAGCUGCUCACCCAACGCACUGCUUGUGGAUGAAAUGGUGAUGUAAAAUCGUUUUUGAACCCUGGAGCCCUGAGCCAGCUGUGCAUCCAACUCAAAGUUCACAGUUCAAACACCAGACUGCCAAACGGCAGGACCAAGCUCGUCAAAACCGCUGCUGCUUCGUGCGCGCUCCAUCCUGCCGAUCAGAGGUGUUUAUGUUCCUUCUCUAUGAGUAUUUGCAUCUUUUACGUGUCUUAUUUGCAUAUAAGAGGAGUGCUCUCAGGCUUCCUAAUAUUUUAUUGGUUGUCAGUGAUGUGGGGGCAUUUGACAAAGUCAAUGCUCCGCGUUUCCUUCGCUUAGUGCUCUCUCGCAGUAUAGUAGGCGAAGCUCAUAGUUAUAGUCAGAUGGCAUGUACGAGGCUAGGGAUAAAUUCGAAUUAUGGAAUCAAAUUUGGAUAGCUCUACUUAGAGCAGUUCCAGUGUAUUAAAAAAAUUGAAUCGUGGAUGUGGAAAACCGAACUGAAUACACUGUGAACAUCGGACAGUGCAGCUAAAAAUUGCACUCCGCAAACGUCCACAUCACCAUUGCCGGUCACUCAUCACGCCUUCACACGCCGACGAGCUGCACCCGGAGGUCCUCUGAUGAAGCCUGCCGGUCACUACAUGCAGGGCACGGCAGAAGCAGUAGGCCUGGAGAUCUCAGCGGUGUGUGCUGAGAUGGAGUAGAGUAUCCCCAGUCACUUAAUAAUUUUUGUGAAUAGGACCAUUCUAAUAUCUCUUUCGUUAUUAUUGGAAGAGUUAUUUUUGGAAGAGUCAGAGCAACUUCAAAAACUUUCUUAAAUUACCCUUAAUACCUCAAUUAGGGAGAAAAAAUAACCUCCAACAGCUUCAAAAAACCCCGCAAACAUACAACGACUUCAUAUCCCGGCUUCCUCGCUCCGCAUGUUUCCACCAGCUCUCGGCACUCGCAAUCCGUGAUUUUUUUCCCGCAAGAGGCGACGUGGCACGUCGUUAUUUUUCUCCCCAUGAAAAAGUCACUCGUUUUCUUUUUUCUCACCAUGAAAACGUCGCUAGUUUUAUUCUCCCACACGAACAUCCUUUCCUACGGACAAAAAAGUCGUUGGUUUUCCUUUCACGGUGGAGAGUGCCCCCGCAAAUGGAUAAUGUCUAGCACUUAAAGUUUUUAGCAACUUUUUUCUAGGUACUCUUGGAGGAGAGGAACUUUUUAGCUCCCAAUAUUUUUUAGAAAGGUCCCCGGUUUUUGGAAGUCUAUUUUUUGCACUCUUGGAGAUACUCUCACAACUCCUUUAUUUGGGAAGACUUGGGAUGCAUUAUUGGUUUGUCCAAUAAUUAUUGGAAAUAAAGCAAAGAUUAAGGGAGUCUGUUGGAGCACUAUUUUUCAACGACUCUACCAAUAUGAUACGUGGAUUGGGGAACGGGGAUGAUCUGUUGGAGAUACUUUUAAACAAUCACGACUAAAAAAAUGACCUUUCGUCCACUUCCUUAGUAUCGAUCACAUUUUAACCCGAUACUAAUUGUCGUUGUCAAGAUUAGCGGGUCAAGACUUAGACUAGUAAAUUUCUUUUAUGCGCGUGAGGCUUGAGAUGGUGGCGUGAGAGACACGGGGUUUAUACUAGUUCAGGUAAAGGAAAUACCCUACGUCCAGUGUUAGGAGCUGCUCGUGUUGCCCACGUGGGGUUCUGUAGUAGGGGUUACAGAAGUGCGAGAGAGGGAACUGGUCCCAGGUCUCUUGGGUGUGCACUGAUGCUCUAGAAGGGUGUGUGUGUGUUCUGUUGGCUUGGAAGCGUUGUGGUGCUUUUUGUUGUCCUUCCAGCCCCCCUGUCUCAGGCCCCCGAUUCCCCUUUUAUAGCGUAAGGAGACCACCGGGGUUACAGGCGAGACCGAGUAUGGGGAGAAGUAAAGAGAUAAAUAUAGCUAGGUAAAAAAUACAACACGAAAAGGGGGGAAACAAGUUCCCAGGUCACCGGCGUCCUUGCCGGCCUUCGACUUCCGCCGGCGCGUUUGCCGGAGGAGGGUGGCUGCCGUCGCGUCCUGUUGAUGGCUUCCUUGGCAACUGUAGCCGCCGGGCGUGAUGAUGGCAUUUCGCCGUGACCCUCGUGUCCGUUGGGGGAUACGGUGGAUCCCGCCAUCCUACUGACGGCCCGCGGAGCGCGGACAUCGCAUCCCUGCCGUCGGGCACGCGGGGCACGAGAACAGGCGAGGCUUCCCCCUGCUCCGGGCGGCGCAGGCCAUGAGUGCCCUGUGGCGAAUGGGUGGAGGCCGCAGCUACUGUAGCUUGUACAGUGCGAUCGUGCAUGGGUACUUGCAGCAGGUUGCGUGAGGGGCGCGGGCAUCCUUCUUCCUGACAGACCUACGACGCAUUUAUGGCGAGAUCGACAGGGGGACCCACGAGAUCUGCGCCCGAGGCGGAUACUCGUCUGGUGGGCUCGGGUCAGCCCGACCCCCUACGCUUGGGGUCAGGUGAGGCGGAGACCUGCGGCGGGGGGUCGGACGCUCCCGACCCCAGACCUGCGGUCGGGCGAGGCGGAGCUUGGUCUUCCAGAUGCCUGACCCCGGGAUGCAGGGUCGGGGAGGCGGAGCGUGAUUCUCGCCCCCCGUGUUGGGCUGGAGGCAGGCUUGUUACCUUAAGUGGGCCUGGACCUUUACAUUUUGUUGUUUCCAUGGGCUUGGGGAAAUCGUUAAUAUUUCCCCCCAACAGUAGCCCCCGAGCCUAUGGUGGAGCGGGGAUGCUCCUCCAGAGGCUGCUGUCAUCGCCUGUAUGGGAUCCUUGCAGUUGAUCCGGGACGGGAGGUGUUGUUUGGAUGGCUUGACCGAGGGGGUCAAUUAGGCGACGCAUCCUGUGAGCGACUCGGCGCGGGAGGACUUCUUGUCAUUCCCUUCCGCCUGCGAGCCUUAAGUCAAGACCACCCGCGUGGCCUUUGGUUGCGAGGCCAUCCCCGAGCCCCUGCGCAUUGCAGGGACCGGUCGGAGGCUAGGUCGACUUUUGUUCGUUACCCUUCAAGCGUUCGUUCGCUAGGACAGAGGGGGCGAGCCGUGCCACGCUAUCCUCGUCAGACAAUCCGUGGUGCUCGUUGAGCUACUAACGAGUUGAUUCGAGUGGGAUCCAGGUCCCCGUUCGGGGGGGUGCGGCUUGGGCCAAGCUGGUGGCGUACCCCAGGCUCCGGUCAGCCAGUUCAUAUAGUUUCCGAGUCCGUUCGGUUGGAUCCGGGGGCUCGUUGCCUUUCUUCGGGGAAAAACCAUGAACUUUGAUGCCGGUCCGGACUCAAAUGUGAGAUUGAGAUGCCCUGGGCUGUCGCGUGUCCGGGUGAUGGUCGCUAGCGGACCCGUCUCUUCUCACCCCUCGCUCGGGGGUACCCUGAGGCGGCUGUCGAACCCGUGGUGGGCCAGCCUUCGAACCUCUGGAUCGUAAUGGGCCGUAGGGGCAUUUUCAGCCCCGUAUCCCUUUUUACCUUUUGAUGGGCCUUGGGCCGAAUCGUAGCGGAGGUCGCGUCUCGGGCCGGACGUGGAGGAUGUUGUGUCUUGGGCCGGACGUGGGAGACGUCGUGUGCGUGUCUUCCGGGAGACAAAGUGGUGGAGGGCGCCGACCCGCGAAUCGAGGGAGGAGGGGAUGUUUCCGCUGUAGAUCGUGCGCACAGUUUCCGAAAAGGGAGCGGGCGUGACGGGGAUGUACCUGGUGCUGCAUUUAUUGCGAUAGGGGCGUCUGUUCUACUUCCCUCGCGCCUUCUCUAUAAAAUGAGAACUUCGCCUCGCUGGUUCCACCCGCCAUCUGCCUUCAAGCCUUUUCGUCUCCUCGCACGCCCUUAGCUUUUCUGCGCCCGCUUCGUCUUCCUCCGCCCAAUGCCGCACCCUUUCUCCCCAUCCUCCGUCGAGUUCUUCUCCCUCCGGCGAUGGGAUCCUGGGCGCGUUCCCACUUCGGCCCCACGCGCGCCGAAGGCCUAGUGAGGAAAGGCCUCCUCUGCGAGAGGACGGAGGUGGACGAGUGGGAGCUUCCGGGGAUGGAAGAGGUGCCGACGCUGCCCGCCGGCUAUGUCGUCUCCUUCGCCCACUUCCACGAGAGGUGGUUCGCGACUCCUGCAUUACUACGGGCUUGAGCUGCAGCACCUCAACCCCAAUGGGAUUAAGCACAUCGCGGUGUUCGUCGCGCUGUGCGAGGGGUUCCUAGGCAUCGAGCCCAACUUCUCGCUGUGGAAGUAUUUCUUCACGGUCAGCCUGUACCAGAAGGCCGAGAAGAAGGGGAGCCAGCAGCGGUCGUCCCCGGUGCCGAUAGGGUGCGCCGGUUUCCACCUCCACCUUACUCGCGCCAAGGAGUACAUGACGAUGAAGACCGCGAUCUCCCACAAGGGGUGGCACCAGCAGUGGUUCUACGUGAAGAACUAGUCCAACUCCCUCUUGCCGGAGUUCACCGGCCGCAUUAUUGAGGCGGCGCCGGAUGUGUAGGCGUACGGCCCGGUGGAAAAGGAGAAGAAGCGGAUCUCCGGGCUGCUGCAGGCCAUCAAGCACCUGAAGGGGAGGGGACUGACCAGAGCCGGAGUCAUCGGGGCGUACCACGCCCAGCGGGUGGCACCGCUGAUGCUCCGGGUCCGCUCGCUUGCCUAUAUGACCCCCGGUGCUCCGACCGAUGGCACCGUCCUCGCGACGGGCGCGCUCGCCGCCUCUGAGAUCCGGCAGCGGAUCCGGGAGGCGCUGGAGGACAAGGACGCAGAUUACCCGGUGCCGGGCCACCGUCUGGUGCGCCCGGACGAGAAUUUCAUCGACCUGGUAAGGAUUUUGUGCACCCAUUUCCCUUUCUCGUGUUUCUUGGUCCGCCGUUCUAACGCGGGGCGUUUUUUGUUUGUAGGGUAGCAUGACCCGGGUCGUCGACUCACGCCCGCCGGUGCCGGAGGACGCCGAGUGGUGGCGGCAGAACCGUCUCCUUGCCGAGAAGCAAAAGCAACGCAAGGACAAGGAGAUGGCGAAGAAGAAGAAGAGGGCCGCCAAGGAGUUCCAACGGCGGCGGCGGGGACAGGUCGUGUCGGAUGACGACGAUGACGACGAUGAAGAGGAGGAGGAGGAUGACGAGGAGGAGGAGGAGGAAUUUAUCCUGUCCCCCCGGCCGGGCGUGCUUGUUAUCUGGGAGGCGCGCUCCCAAACGGCCACGGGGGAUGAGGUGAGCAAGCCGCCUGCCCGGGACCCGGCCCCGCAGAGUUCUGGGGCCGCACCCCAGGGGUCGGCGCGGAGCGCCCCCAGGAGGUUGGCGGAGCCGACCCCUGUCCCUGCGCCUACGGCCCAGGAGCAGAGGAGUGGUGAUAAGCGGCCGUUGCCGGAUACCCCGGGGUCGGCGUCCGGCCCGGAGGCGAAGCGCGCGCGCCGCCCUUGCGCUGGGGGAACGUGAGUUGAAUUUCCUUGGGAAUCUCAUUCCUUUCCAUACAUUGUGUCUGUUUCCCUUGAUGUUGUUUGUUGUUUCGCAGUGCCGCCCCUCGAGGCCUCGUCCCACCGCUGGCGCCCAAGAAGGCACUGCGGGUGCUGCCCGCCUCUGCGGGGCGGACCGCGGCUCCGCCGGCGGCGAGCGGCGGGGUCACCGGCGAGACCGCGGGUCCUUCCGCGGAGGUGGCUCCUGCGGCGGUAUCUGGUGGAGUGGUGCCACCGCCGAGCACGGGAUAGGGUCUGGCCCCGGCUCCGUCCUCCGCCCCUUCGGCCGACCCCACGGUGUAGAUUGUUGCGCCUGGGUGUCCUCCAUCCGGGGAGGUGAUUGACCUCGACGCCGACGAGGGGGAGGAAACGGCGGCGGUGGAGACGGGGCGGUUGCCCUAGCGGCCGCGACGGGGACGGCGUCAGCGAUGGGGGAAGGAGAGUCUAUCCCCGCUGCCAUGGUGGGGCGGCGGCGAUGGAAGGGGGGAAGACGCCCGCCCCGGCGGCUGCGACGGAGGAGGAGGCGGUGACGGUGACGGGGACUUCCGCCCGGGGAGCCACAGCGGAGGUAGCAGCGGCGGCGGAGGUAGAAGUGCCUGCUCCGGAGGCCGUGACGGGGGCGGGGACGCCUGCCCUGACAGCCGCGACAGAGGGCGAGGUGGCCACAGGAACACCUCCUCCGGCACCUGCGUCGGAGGCGGUGGCGCCGACGGGCGGGCCCGCGGCGGCCUCGACGGGGAUGGGGGUGCGUGUGCCGAGACCGUCCGUGAGCCCGGCGGCUUCCGGGAUGGUGGUGCCCGUCUUGACGGGGUCAUCGGGGUCGGCCCCCGCCCGUGCCUAGACCACUUCCGUUCCCAAGGCGUGGAGCGGGUUCGUCCUGCGUUGGUCGUCUCGUGACAACCCGCAGAGACCCCUCUUUACGUUGGACGACGCCACGGAAUGGGGAAAGUGGCAGGCGCUGCUGGGCGGACUCGUUAACAUCCGCGUGGCUCUGUCUUCGGCGUUGGGGGAGCUGGACGGCGUCGUCUUCCCCGGUGGCCAGGUAUGGUAUUUUCUCUAUUGACGGUUGCUUUCCUCCCGUUGCUUUACCCCUGAUGGCGUACUGUCUUGCAGGCUCUCCAAGAAUGCAGCUGAGGAAAAUUCGAUUUCCUCCAGCUCGAGCGGGGGCUCUGGGAGCGCUUCAACUUGGAGAGGCAGCGGACCGGGGAGCUGACCAUGUAGGUCGCCGCCGCCCAGCAGGUCAUCGACGACCUGCGGAGGCGCGAACACGCGGCAGGCGGAGGCCAAGUUCCAGGUCAUCGCUGAGAGGGCUCGCUGUGAUCGCGAGGAGUUCCAAGCAGCUACCGAAAAGGCCCAUCACAACGCCGAGGAGCUCGCGCGGCUGAAGGGGGAGCAUGAGGCCCUUCAGAAGACCAUCGAGCGCAUCCGGCGCGAGCAGCAGAAGGCCUGGCAGGACCGGGACGCCGAGAAGGUCCGGAAGGAGGAGGCCGAGAAGGUGGUGGCCAACCUUGGGGCAGAGGUUAGCCAGCUCCAAGUGCAAGCGCGGGAGCUUCAGGCCUCCGUGGCCCAGGGGCUCGACCGGGAGCGCCAGCUGAAGGCCCAAUCCAAAGGUAUGACCCUGUUUAUUCCUUCGUCUUUGUGAUGUCAUGGUGAUUUUUGAUUUGGCGGGUCCUUCUGGGUGGUCCUUGCAGGCGAGCUCUCCCGGCUGAGGGAGUUGCUUGACGUGGAGCGCGGUGAACACGGCGACCUGCGGGAUGCUGUUCGCGUCGUCUGCGACGGCCUCGGCGUGGUCCAGGGGGAGGGGACGAGUUCGCUGGUGACUUGCGUCCUUGGGACGUACCGCCGGGCCCGCGAAAUUGCCGUGGUAGCGCUCCACACCGGCGUGAGGCGAGCCUUCGGGGUCUUCGGCUCCCACUGCUCUGGCAUCAACUUCGCCGGGAUGAGCGGGGGGUACGCCGCCGGCUACUCCAAGGCUGAGCUGGACAAGAUCGACGCGUCGGUGCUCAACCCGGCGGAGGCCUUGGUGAAGCUCCUGGAGGAUGAAGCCAUCCCUCCCGAAGAUCCCCGAACGAGUUAACUGUAUCGGGCUGGCGCCCAAGAUGUAAAUACGUUAAUGUCAGACUUAUUUUGUGGUGGCCACAGGGGCUUUUUCUAUGGAUUGUUGUAAAAGAGUUUUCGAUUCCCUUUCUUGUUUUUUGGACUUGGAAAGUUUAGAGCGCGUUGUCGGGUGUGUCAGUAAGCUUUGCUGAGUGAAGGCACCGUAGCCGCUGGGACGUAGGUUUUUCGCAGUCCGAUCAAUCUUACCUGAACACCGUUGGUGCACUUUCUCCUUUUCAUGCCCAAAAGUUUAGAAAGGGGGUCAGCUCGGAAAGAGAAAGUGUUUUGAGAGGGUGUCAAGUGGCCUAGGGCGGAGCCCCUGAUAGCCCCCGAGGGAUGUGCGGCCCUGAGGCAGAGCCAGGGUCGGAUAUCCCUGAGUUUGAAGUGAAACUUGAAUGGAACCGACUCAAAAUUCUUUUUUCCGUAAAAUUUUCAGAUGUACGGAAGUAUCUAUGUACAAAACUUGGAAAUGAAAGCUAGGGGUAUAAACGUCUUACCUGUUUUAUGUUCCAAGCAUUGCUGAAGGUCUGUCCAUCGGGAGUCGCCAGCUUGUAGGUGCCUGGCCGCAGUACCUGCACGAUGAUGAAGGGACCUUCCCACGGAGGGGUCAGCUUGUGUCGACCCCUGUUGUCCUGGACGAGAUGGAGUACCAGGUCGCCGACGUUAAAGGCUCAGUCCUGCACCUUGCGGCUGUGGUAGCGUCGUAAGGCCUGCUGGUACUUGGCCAAGUGCAGUAAGGCCACAUCGCGUGCUUCAUCGAGCUGAUCUUGUGCGUCUUCGAGCGAUGCUUGGUUCCCUUGUUCGUCAUAUGCCCUGACCCUCGGCGAUCCGUACUCCAGAUCGGUGGGCAGGAUGGCCUCGGAUCCGUAUACCAUGAAGAAUGGGGUGAAGCCAGUCGCCCGACUGGGGGUUGUCCUCAGACUCCAAAGGACUGCGGGAAGCUCUGCGACCCACCGGUCGCCGAACUUUUUGAGGCGGUCGAAGAUCCGUGGCUUGAGACCCUGGAGUAUCAUGCCGUUGGCUCGUUCAACCUGCCCGUUCGUGCGGGGAUGUGCCACGGCCGACCAGUCCACUCGGAUGUGGUGGUCGUCGCAGAAUUGGAGAAACCUCUUUCCAGUGAACUGCGUGCCGUUGUCCGUGAUGAUGGAGUUGGGGAUUCCGAAACGAUGGAUGAUGUUGGUGAAGAACUGCACUGCCUGCUCGGACUUGAUUUGCGCAAUCGGUCGUGCUUCGAUCCACUUGGAGAACUUGUCGAUGGUGACAAGCAGGUGGGUGAAGCCCCCGGGCGCUUUCUUGAAUGGCCCGACGAGAUCCAGCCCCCAGACCACGAAGGGCCACGUGAUGGGGAUGGUCUGGAGCGCUUGCGCGGGCAGAUGAGUUUGGCGCGUGAAGAAUUGGCACCCUUCGCAGGUGCGGACCACGUGGGUGGCAUCGGCGACCACCGUGGGCCAGUAGAAACCCUGCCGGAAGGCAUUGCCAACGAGGGUUCUUGGCGUGGCGUGGUGGCCGCAGGCUCCGGCGUGGAUGUCCUGGAUCAGCUCCUUUCCCUGCUCGAUUGGGAUGCAACGCUGGAGGAUGCCGAUGUGGCUUCUAUUGUGGAGCUCCUGGUUGAUGAUGACGAAGGAUUUAGUGUGGCGCGCGAUCCUGCGCGCCUCCAUCUUGGUCGUAGGGAGCGUGUCGCGGACGAGGUAGUCGAGGUACGGGGUUCUCUAGUUGAGCGGGGGGUCAGGCCCCGCUGCUGGGUCUGCAUCGAUUUUCAUGACCUCGGGGUCAGCCUCCGAGUCCGCGGCAGGCGAGGCGUUGCCGACCCUGGUGGGCGGCGCGUCGCUGACCUCUCCCGGGUCAGGGCCCGAGUUCAGGACAGGUGGCGCGUUGCCGACCGCCUCCAGCUCUUGGGAGCGGAUUGAGGGCUUGAGUUGGUCGCUGACAAAAAUACCGUCGGGUACGGGUUUUCAUCCGGACGCUGCCUUCGCCAACUCGUCGGCUGCGUCAUUGAAACGCCUUGCGACAUGGUUGAGCUCUAGUCCAUCGAACUUGUCUUCAAGCUUGCGAACUUCGUUGCAGUAAGCUGCCAUCUUGGGGUCGUGGCAGCUCCACUCCUUCAUGACUUGUUCAACGACCAGCUGAGAGUCGCCCUGGAUGUCCAGCCGCCGGAUGCCCAGCUCGAUAGCGAUGUGAAGCCCGUUGAGGAGGGCCUCGUACUCCGCAACAUUAUUAGAUGCAGGAAAGUGGAGGCGGAUCAUGUACCUCAUGCGCACGCCUAGAGGAGAGACGAAGACGAGGCCUGCUCCGGCGUGGGCCCUCAUCAGUGACCCAUCGAAGUACAUUGUCCAGCACUCCUCUUUUUCUGGGGCCGGUGGCGUCUGGAUCUUUGUCCACUCUGCUACAAAGUCGGCUAGUACCUGGGACUUGAUGACAGUGCGGGGAGCAUAGGUGAUGCCCUGGUCCAUGAGCUCAAGCGCCCACUUCGCAAUCCGUCCCGUGGCGUCCUGGUUUCGAAUCACUUCGCCGAGAGGGAACGACGAAACCACUGUUACCGGAUGGGAGGUGAAGUAGUAGCGCAGCUUCCUCUUCGUGAUGAGGAUGGCGUAGAUGUGCUUCUGGAUCUGCGGGUAGCGUGUCUUGGAUUCGGACAAGACCUCGCUGACGAAGUACACCGGGCGCUGCACCUUGAGGGAGUGUCCGUCCUCUUCUCGCUCCACCACCAGAGUCGCGCUAACCACCUGGGUGGUCGCUGCGAUGUAGAGCAGGAGGGGCUUGCCGUCGGUCGGCGGGACUAGGAUCGGGGCCUUCGUCAGGAGGUCCUUGAGCCGGUCAAGUGCCUCCUGGGCCUCGGCGGUCCACUCGAAGCGGUCGGUCUUCUUCAGGAGUCGGUAGAGAGGGAGCCCCCGCUCGCCAAGGCGCGAGAUGAAGCGGCUCAGAGCCGCCAAGCAUCCUGUGAUGCGCUGGACUCCUUUUAUAUUUCGGAUCGGCCCCAUGUCGCUGAUAGCCGCUAUCUUCUCCGGAUUGGCUUCGAUGCCGCGCACGGAGAUGAUAAAACCUAGCAGCAUGCCCCUUGGAACCCUGAAAACGCACUUUUCAGGAUUGAGCUUGAUGUGCUUGUCUCUUAGCCUUUCGAAGGCUAGUUUGAGGUCGGGGACGAGCUGGUUGCCUCUUUUGGACUUGACUACGAUGUCGUCGACGUAAGCCUCAACGGUCCGCCCGAUGAGGUCGCUGAAGCAUUUGAGCAUGCAUCGCUGGAACGUAGCCCCCGCGUUCUUGAGGCCGAAUGGCAUCUUAACGUAGCAAUAGGGGCCAAAGGGGGUGAUGAAAGAGGUAGAGAGCUGGCCGGACUCUUUCAUCGUGAUCUGAUGAUAGCCAGAAUACGCGUCGAGGAAGCUAAGGGUUUCGCACCCAGCGGUUGAGUCGACUAUCUGAUCUAUGCAUGGCAAAGGAAAUGGAUCCUUUGGGCACGCUUUGUUGAGACCAGUAUAAUCAACACACAUCCUCCAUUUCCCAUUCUUCUUUCGUACAAGAACAGGAUUAGCUAGCCACUUGGGGUGGUGAACUUCCUUGAUGAAUCCAGCCACCAGAAGCUUCUGGAGCUCUUGCCGAUGGCCUUGCGCCUCUCCUCAUCGAAGCGGCGCAAGCCUUGCUUCACUGGCUUAGAACCAGCUUUGAUGUUCAAGGAGUGCUCGGCGACUUCCCUCGGAAUGCCGGGCAUGUCCGAGGGUUUCCACGCGAAAACGUCGCUGUUCGUGCGGAGGAAGUCGACGAGCGCACUUUCCUAUUUGGGGGACAGGGUAGCGCCGAUCCGCACGGUCCGACCAUCGGAGCUGCUGGGGUCGAGGAGCACCUCCUUGACGCCUUUGGUGGCCUCGAAGGAGGUGGCCGACUGCUUGGAGUCGGGCUGGUCCUCGGCGCCUUCCGCGAGUUGGACUGUUGAAUCUUUCGUGAAGGUGAUGGCUGCGGCGUACUUUCAGCAUUCUACUCGCACUCGUACGCCUUCUGGAAAGACGUGCCGACGGUGAUGACCCCAUUGGGCCCCGACAGCUUGAGCUUGAGGUAGGUGUAGUUGGGGAUGGCCAUGAACUUGGCGUAGCACGGUCACCCCAAGAUGGCAUGGUAGGUUCCACGGAAACCUACCACCUCGAAGGUGAGGACCUCCUUCCUGUAGUUGGAAGGGGUCCCAAAGGUGACGGGCAAGUCGAUUUGCCCGAGGGGCAUUGCCUGUUUCCCCAGCACGACGCCAUGGAACGGUGCCUUGCUGGGGCGGAGGCGGGAGCGAUCGAUCCCCAUGGCGUCGAGGGUCUCGGCGUAGAGGAUGUUGAGGCCGCUGCCUCCGUCCAUGAGCACCUUUGUGAGGCGCGUCGUGCUGACGACGGGGUCGACAACGAGGGGGUAGCGUCCUGGCUGCAGGACACGCCCUGGGUGGUCGGACCGGUCGAAGGUGAUGGCGGUUCCUGAUCAGUCGAGGAAGGCUGGUGUGGCAGGUUCGGCCGCGUAGACUUCGCGGCGCUCCAACUUCUGGCAGCGCUUGGAGUCGUAUGCCGCCGGGCCACCGAAGAUCAUGAAGCAGCCGUCCACCUUGGGGAAGCCAUCUUCCUUCUCUUCGCCAUCCUUCUUCUCCUCGUUGGGCUUCCACCUCUGGUCUCCCUUUACCGGGUCGCCUACAAAGUACCUCUUCAUGAGGUUGCAGUCUUUGUAGGCAUGCUUCACGGGGAACUCGUGGUUCGGGCACGGUCCCUCAAGGAGCUUGUCGGAGAAGCCGGGGGUGCCUUCUGGGGGCGACUAUCCCCGUUUGCGCUCGACAGCAGCCAUGAGGGGUGGCUUGCGCCGCUGCUUGUUUUUCUUCUUUUGUUGACGGUUGGAGGUGCCUUCGUCGGCAUCCUCCUCCCGCUUUGCUUUGCCCUUGGAACGAUCGAAGAUUGCCUCGACAGCCUCUUCGCCCGAGGCGAAGCUGCUGGCGAUGUCGAGGAGCUCCUCCGUGGUGCGCGGGCCUCGACGCCCCAGCUCGUGGAUGAGGGGUCGGCAGGAGGUUCUUGGUAGAAAAGCCCCUAUGACAUCGGCGUCCGCGACGUUGGACAGCUCGGUGCGCUUCCGAGAGAAGCAUCUGAUGUAGUCCUGGAGGGACUCAUCUGACCCCUGGCGGCAGCUCCGGAGGUCCCAGGAAUUGCCAGGGCAUGCAUACAUGCCCUGGAAGUUUCCCACGAAUAUCUCCUUCAGGUCGUUCCAGCUGCGGAUCCGUCCCGAAGGGAUAUGUUCUAGCCAGGCUCGCGCUGAGUCGGCCAGAAAGAGCGGUAGAAUGCGGAUGAUGAACAGGUCAUCGUCCGCCCCACCGGCCUGGCAUGCAAGCCGGUCAUCGCUGAGCCAUAGUCCGGGGUUUGUGUCCCCCGAGUAUUUGGCCACAUUCGUUGGUUGCAUAAAGCGCGGUGGGAACGGCGCGUUCAGGAUGCGCGCGGAGAAGGCCCGGGGCCCCGCCGGGUCGGGGCUUGGGCUGCGGUCUUCCCCGCUGUCGUAGUGGCCACCGCGGUGGACAUGGUAGCCGCGAUCGGCCCCCUCCUCCCUGUCCGCGCGGGAGCGCCUCCGCGCGUCUAGGGUGUCGCGGGUGUCACGGAUGGGACCGACGCGCCGGUGAACGGACUGAGCCCCGCCUCCUGCAGGUGGUGGUGUCCGUCGAGCGGGCGCGGCCUGGUUCGCCCUAGGUGGAGGCUGAUAAACGGAUUCGCCCCGCCUCUCCGGGGGUACAGUGGGUGCUGCCCUGCUAUCGUUCUGCCCGCGUCACCGGGACGCGGAACUUUCCGCCUGCUGGACAGCGGUGCACUCGAGUAGGUUUUGCACCUCCUGGCGCGCCUGACUGUGACGGAACAACCUCGGAUUAACUUAACUAAAGCACGAUUAAGCCGCUUGACAUGCGACACUCAUGCCUUAAUCAAGUUAACUCGAUGUGCCGUCGGAUUUCAUCCGAUUUAACCACUUAACAGGACCGAGUUAGCAUGACCCACACGAAGGUGAGUGGUUCAAGAGAAUACAACAGAUCCACCAUUAGAUUAACAAGUGGUUACACACUUGGUUAUAAAUCAGAGUUCUACAAGUUCUGAAGAAAACAACAGACGAUAAAAACAAGCGGAAGCUACUCGUCGGGGUCGGACGUCCCUGGUGAGGCCAGCCAGGACAUCAGUGAUCCCAUUCCCCACCGUCCGAGGAAGGAUCCCACUCGACCGUCCAACCCGGAGGGAGUUAGGGCGGCCAAGAGCCAACAACAAGCUCAGAAGCUGCAACUUCACCUGAAAAGAGGAGCCACAAACAAGGCUGAGGUUCUAAGCUCAACAAGACUUAACCGCCCGGUGGGAAAAACUACUCCACCACUUCUAGACAUGCAAGGCUCUUUGGCUGAGGGGUUUGUUUGCCAAAAGCGACUAUGUUAGGUCCUUGCUUUCAAGUUUUAGCUCAAAUUCUAAGUUCAUUAACCAGUCUACAUUUGCAUCUUACUCUAAGCAAACAUAGAUCCAACUUUAUGUAUAUAAGCUACUCAUCAAGACCAUGUCAUCAUCAGACUCUUUCAUUACUCAGUGUAGCAUAGCGAUCAAGCAGUCUCAAACUGUGAGAGGCAGAUGAAUCGAUUCGAGUUCUUUAACCAUGCAUGGUGAACCUAACCUCACGACAUCCGCGCACCACCGAGGGUCGCUUCCUGUGUCGGCCUUCCCCAUCAAUUCCCUAACCCGUGUCGGGCCCACUCCCUUUGGUGCAAGGUUCCACAGACCCGGCCUCUGCCGUUCUGUGACCACACUUGCCACCACGUGCGGCUGCAGGGGAACUUCGUUCCAAGGACAGUGGGAUGACCGCUCACGUCUAGGUUCAAUCAGGUACUAGGCUUCCCCAUCCCAUACUGAGUAUGAGCUUAGUACUUUCAAACACUUGAUCACGAACACCACCACUGUCGGGUCUUAACAGAUUCCAUAGACAGACGGGGCGAUCAGCCGACCACCAAAAGAGUUAACCAAAACCCUGCCCCGUCCAUCGUCCUUAUAGUUGUAACAGAAGGGGAAAAACAACCAACUCCUAUAGCUCGCGAGUGACAGGGAAUCACUCGGCUUUUACCGAUUCCUAUUUAAGGAUAGCAACUACUCAGCCCAAUAAACUAGUGUUCAGAUCACAGGAACUACGCCCAACAAACGAGGCGUUGCAGAAAGGGUUGCAGAGGGGCUUCCGCUGCGAUUGGGGAGGAGGGCGUGGGAAUCCAUUCUGUCGCGGCCGACGACUAGGCGAAGCGGCGGGCGUCGGAGGGAUUAAGCCACGCGGCGGGGAAGCUCUGAAGCGGCGCAUGCUGCGCGGGUGCGUUUGCCUCGGAAGAUCCGGGGAAAAGAUUUGCGGGUCCACCGGUCAGUCUCGGUUGUUCCACAGCUCCAAGAUUGAAAGGAACACCGCCGUUUGAGAUUUAGAAAGAACCGGUGUUUCUGGUUGGGUUUCCAGGGGUGGGGACCGGAAACUGGAGGUUGAGCACUUAAGCUCAGGGGAGCUGAGUCAGCGGAAAUUAGGGACUCAGAUUAGGAUUAACUCGGCUGAUUAAACCAGGGUCGUUACAGCCUACCCCCCUUAAAAAGAAUCUCGUCCCGAGAUUUGGGUGUAAGGGUAACCAAUGGGGGUGUGCAGUCCUUACCUCCUUGGCUGGAAAGAAAACCUCGGAAAUAUUUGUUCAGAUACUCUUCUGUUUCCCAGGUUGCUUCUUCUUUUGUGUGGUGGUUCCAUAGUAUCUUGUACAUUUUUACUUUUUGCCGUCGGGUAUGUCUUUUCUUUUGGUCGAGGACCUUGGCUGGAUACUCAGUGUAACUUAGGUUGGACUCAAUUUUAAGCUGCUCCUGCUCCAAGACCUCAGUUGGGACUUGGACAAACUUCUUCAGUUGGGAUACAUGGAAAACAUCAUGUAUGGCCGAAAGCUGUUCUGGGAGUUGGAUCCGGUAAGCAACGGGUCCACAAAUUUCCACAAUCUCAUCAGGGCCAAUGUAACAGGGAGCCAAUUUUCCUUUUACUCCAAACCGUUGCACUCCUUUGGUCGGGGAGACUCGAAGAUAUACGUGAUCACCAAUAUCAAACUACAGGGGUCUCCUUCUCCUAUCGGAGUAGCUUUUCAGUCGGGAUUGGGUGGCCUUGAGAUUUGCUUGAAUUAUCUUCACUUGCUCUUUGGCUUCUACUACUAGAUCGGGACCAUAGGUUUGUCUUUCUCCAUCUUGUGACCAAUUCAAAGGUGUCCGACAUUUCCGACCAUAUAGGGCUUCAAAUGGUGCCAUCUUCAAACUAGUCUGGUAGCUGUUGUUGUAGGAAAACUCUGCUAAGGGUAAGCACUGAUCCCAAUUCUUAUCAUAAUGGAUGACACAAGCUCUCAACAUGUCUUCAAGGAUCUGAUUUACCCUUUCGGUUUGACCAUCGGUUUGAGGGUGAUAAGUAGAGCUACGAAUGAGCUUGGUGCCUAGUGAUGCUUGUAGCUGUUCCCAAAAACGCGCUACAAACUGAACACCCCGAUCAGAUAUGAUCGUCCUAGGCACACCGUGCAGAGAAACAAUGCGGUCAAGAUACAACUCCGCAUAUUUCCUGGUCAUGUAGGUGGUGUGAACCGGAAGAAAGUGGGCGGACUUGGUAAGGCGAUCUACAAUCACCCAGAUGGAGUCAUGUCGCUGCGAUGUAAGGGGCAAUCCAACAAUGAAGUCCAUACUGAUGUCUUCCCAUUUCCAAGAGGGAAUAGGUAGGGGCUGCAGGGUACCUGCUACCUUUAAAUGGCUGGCUUUGACACGUUGACAGGUGUCACAUUCUGAAACAUAUCGUGCAAUCUCUGGCUUCAUUCCACUCCACCAGAAGAUUUGACGGAGAUCAUGAUACAUCUUAUUGCUGCCAGGAUGGAUUGAGAACUUGGAGAGAUAAGCUUCAUCUAGGAUUUGCUUUCUCAGAUUGGGGUCAGAUGGUACAACAAGUCGAUUUCCAUAAUACACUCUCCCAUUCUCAUUCUGUCGGAAUUGCUUAUACCCUUCAUCCUUCAAUGAAAUCUUCCUUUUGAUCCGCCUUAUUUCCUCAUCCUCUAACUGUGCUAACCCAAUUUGGUCCUCUAACACAGACUCAAGGGAUAUAUGGUCGAGGGUUCCAUGGGAAACAAUUUCCAAACUGAGCUUUCCCAUCUCUUGGCACAGAGUCUCCGUGAAGUUGGUUGCCAUCAAGCAAUUGCAAUGAGUCCUGCGGCUAAGAGCAUCGGCCACCACGUUGGCCUUGCCGGGGUGAUAAUGCACUUUCAAAUCAUAAUCCUUUAUCAACUCCAACCAUCUUCUCUGGCGCAUGUUGAGGUCGGCCUGAGUGAAGAUAUACUUGAGGCUCUUGUGAUCGGUGUAGAUGUUACAGCGGGUGCCCAUCAAAUAGUGCCUCCAUAUCUUUAAGGCAUGAAUCACUGCUGCCAACUCAAGAUCAUGGGUCGGAUAGUUCAGCUCAUGAGGUCGUAACGCCCGUGAGGGAUAGGCAAUGACUCGGUUGUCUUGCAUAAGAACACACCCAAGUCCAGUGCCAGAGGCGUCAUAGUAUACGUCAAACGGCCUAGAAGGGUCGGGUUGAGCCAAAACCGGGGCUGAGGUUAGCAAGUGUUUCAAGGUGUUGAAGGCUUCUUCACACUUGUCGUUCCACACAAAUUUGGCUUCUUUCUUAGGCAGCUCAGUCAUCAGUUUAGCUAUCUUGGAGAAAUCCGGAAUGAAGCGCCGAUAGUAGCCUGCUAAUCCAAGAAAACUUCGGAUCUGGUGAACUGAAGUGGGUGGCUUUCAGUCCAUGAAUUCCUGUACCUUGCUGGGGUCAACUGCUAUGCCAUCCCGAGAGAUGGUGUGUCCCAAGAACUUGACAUUCUCUAACCAAAACUCACACUUGGAGAAUUUGGCAUAGAGCUGAUAAUCUCUCAACCGUUGAAGAACCACACGAAGAUGAUCGGCAUGUUCUUCUUCACUCUUGGAGUACACCAGAAUAUCAUCAGUGAACACCACCACGAACUUGUCCAGUUCGGGCAUGAACACCGAAUUCAUGAGAUACAUGAAAUAGGUGGGUGCAUUGGUGAGUCCAAAAGACAUAACUAGGUACUCGUAGAGUCCAUAUCUUGUGGAGAAAGCAGUUUUGGGAAUAUCACAGGGUCUGAUCUUGAUUUGGUGAUAACCGGAACGAAGAUCGAUCUUGGAGAACACUCUGGCUCCAGCUAAUUUAUCAAACAAGACAUCGAUGCGGGGAAGUGGAUACUUGUUCUUGACAGUCAACGCAUUGAGAGGUCGGUAGUCCACACACAUGCGUAGACUUUCAUCCUUCUUCUUCACAAACAAGGCUGGGCAACCCCAGGGUGAAGUACUAGGUCGGAUGAAGCCUUUCUCCAACAGAUCAUGAAACUGGGUUUUUAACUCGGCCAGCUCAGCGAGUGGCAUCCAAUAGGGUCUCUUGGAUAUCGGAGCGGUGUCAGGCUGCAGUUCAAUGGCGAACUCGAUAUCUCUGUCUGGCGGCAUGCCAGGUAAGUCAUCUGGAAACACAUCCGGGUACUCGCAGACAACAGGAAGGUUUUCUAUCCGGGCUUCUGAUAUAGGGUACGCGCAAGGAAUUGCGUACUCAGGGUGGGUCAAGGAUAGGGUAGAGCUGCCAUGAAAGGGUGAGUUGAUGUGGAGAGCUCGGGCAGCUGCAUCUAGGACCACUUGGUGUCGGGUCAUCCAAUUCAUCCCAAGGAUGAUAUCUAUUCCUUCUAGGUCAAGGAUGAUAAGAUUCUCCCUAAAAAGAGUUUGGUCUAGCUGGAUAGGUACAAGGGUAACUAUCUUGUCUGAGGCUAUCUUUCUUCCCAGAGUGGAGAUCACAUAUGAUCCUUUAGUGUGAUCGACACUCAGCUCACAUCUCUCUCUAGUCUUACUCCCGAUGAAGCUAUGGGAAGCUCCUGAAUCAAACAAAACCACAACAGUUUGAUUAAGGACAAGGAAGGUACCCAUCAUCACUGGCGCACCUUCGGGGAGCUCAGUCAAGCUGGUGUAGUUGAGCCGUCCUUGGCGAACUUGCACCUUAGGCCUUCUUCCUUUGUUCACCGUGGGGUUCUGGCCAGGCUGUUGAUUCUUGUUCCUAGGACAGUCCUUGGCAAAAUGCCCUUCAUUUCCGCAGGUGAAACAACGAUUGCUAUUCACAGGGCGCGCGGUGGUAAGGUCGGCCGGGGCGCCUGCGGUUGAAAACCAGGAAAACGAGGGGCCACUAGUGGUGGAGGGCGAGCAAUCCAUCAUCCCGAUUGUUGGGGCCUGUGGGGCAUCUGAGGGGGAACCAUCUUGAAUCUUCGAGCUGGCGGGCUCGGUAAUGCCACUGAGGCCUUUCUCUUCUGGUCAGCUUUAAGAGCCUGCAUGCAGUCCUCUUGAGAGAUGGCCAAAUUCACCAAUUCAUUGUAGGUAUCCACCUUGAUGGGGUUCAACCUCUCCUUGAGUUCCAGGCUCAAGCCUCUGCGGAACCUGUCCCUUUUCUUCUCGUCGGUAUCUGCAUGAUAGCCGGCAUAACGGCACAGGUCAUUGAAGGCUUGUGCAUAGUGUAAGAUGUCACGGCUUCCUUGGGUAAGGGCCAAGAACUCGUUGAGUUUGCAUUCUAGAAGACCUUCUGGAAUGUGAUGCCCUCUGAAAGCGGUCUUGAACUCGUUCCAGCUGACAGCAUGGUCGGCCAGCAACAUAGCAUGGUAGUGAUCCCACCAAAGCCGGGUGGAACCACGCAGCUGUUGAGCCGCGAACCGGGCUUUGUUCUGGUUGGGGCACGGGGCGGUGAGGAGUUCGAACUUGGAUUCAAUAGUACAAACCCAGGCAUCUGCAUCGAGCGGGUCUUCCAUCUUGUGGAAGGUCGGGGGCUGCGUGCUCAAGAAGUCCUCAUAACGAGCAACUUGAGGUUGUUGAUGAGCUCUCCCUCCAUGGGGCUGCUGUUGUUGUCCUUGUACAAUGUGCCUUAGCAGCUCAGUUUGAGCCGCUAGGAGGGCUUCCAGCGAGGGUGGGGGCGGAGGCGGAGGAAGAUCCUGCCUCUGCUCGCUACCGCUGGGCACAGAGCCAGAUCGGGUGCGGUGCGCCAUCUGCAAGAGCCAACGUUCCAUUAAUUCCAUAACCUCAGAAGUAUUCCAAUCAUGCGGGAACGUAUACUUUAAAUCCUCAAAAUGCGACUCUUGCCGAUAGUGCAACACAACAGCAUCUCUUAUUAAGGAGAUACACACUUCCUCCUGCCAUCUUAGUUAGCCACUAUCUUAGUUCUGCACACAACUUCGGGCGAACCAAACCGUAUCCCAUGGGCUCCACUAUAUCCGACCUUAGGCCAAGGGGUCGGGCUAAGCGAAACGGUGCAACCAGGGGUCGGGCAAGGCGGAGACCGGCUCGAGGAGUCGAGCGCAUCCGACCUUGCAACUCGGGGUCGGCCAAGCUUUGGACAGACCCACAGAAAAUGGGUGUGUGGUCACAACACAAAACUCACACAACUUGGCAUCCAAAGCGUGUCGCAAAAAGGGUCAAAAGUCAAGUCAAGAUCUGAUUUCACUAAGAUCAUUUCAUUGUUGUUCCCCAAAACAUAGGAGGAAUACUCAACUCAAGACUAACCUAUCACAUCACUAUCCAAAACUUAGGUUGCCGAGGAGUACAACAAAAGAUUAGAUUCCCACAGCUCUCAACCUAUGAGGGAAUGCUAUGAGUCGGAGAAGGGGCGUCGUCCUCUUCCAUGUCCAUACUGGACGCUCCUAUUACCUCCGCAGGGUCUUCUUGUUCGUCCAGUUGCAUCUCAAGGGCAUGCAUGGCAUCGAGCUUGGCGUGGUGCUCGUCCAAAUGAGCAUUAGCAACUGCGAGCUCCAUCUCAACUUCCAUCUUCUCUUCGGCAAGCUCGAUCAUGCCAUCCACCAGGUAUGUCACUUCUCCCUCGAGUUCGUAGAUCCUGGCUUGCAUGUCAUGGAUCUAUAUGCCUCUCUAGAUGAGCUGAUAUGAUCAUCCCACCAAGUCUCUCUUGGCGGCGUUGAAAUGCCCUUGGGUGUCUAUGGCUAUCCGAGCCAAGACAGCCAUCGCUCGGCCUUGAACCUCAAUCAGCUGAUACAAGGCUGACAUGCAUCUGGUGGUGGUAGAGAUGGUCACCAGUGAAUGGGAGGUUGCCAACACCUCCAUGUUGUUGACGCGAUCAAGCCACGUGGGGUCUAACCGAUCCCUGGUGGGAAACAAGCUGAUUGGGUCUAAGGUGACCUCAAGCGGGUGUAACCGACAUAACUGGGUGAGGAUCUGCAGAGCAGCCGACUCCCAGGUGUCCUCCAGAGCGUGUCCGCAAGUCAAGACUUCGAGCGGGGGCCACUCGGGCUGCACAGGGGGUGGAGGUACAACCAGCUGCACGUUGCAUCUCGGCACUCUGUGCUCCUGGUACAUUCGUCCCACGUACAGAGGUGGGGACUGGUACCCGAACCACCUCAAGGUAUCUCACAGAAUAGCAGGAAAACCCUCAAAGUGUAGGCACGUAGAGUGGGAAACGCCGUCAGCGCCGUACAACACGUGUCCGGGGGCAGCCAUCUGAACCAAGAACCAAAACAACGUGAGAUAGAGACUCUAAGAAGAAGAACAGGUCGGGCAGAAAAGGUACUCGGAUUUUCGACCAGAGCGCAAGCUGGAAAGGAAGCUAGAAAUCCUUAAAGCGAAGAAGAACUUUUCCAAGGCAAGGUUGUUCUAGGGAGGUGAUUUCACAGAUUUUUUUUUCAUGCCGCAUGCACUGCCUACCUCGUUCUCUCAACCAAAACAACUGCCAAAACCCUUGGUCUUACACGGUCAGUGCCAGUGGCAAGGCAACCAGUACGUCUCUCCCUAUAAUAGCUAGUCGGUUUCUAGUAGCGUCUCCUAAGCGAACACGGUUAGGAUACCUGCAGAAAACACAGCCACCUGAACCUUUCAUGCCAGCACCCACGAAAGCAUCCCCAAGCAUUACCGUUCACUAUAGAAAUGACACCCAUGCGUUUAAAGCUGCAUGGACAGCACAACAACCGUGGAAACAGGCCCCCUUUGAAUGGAACCGUAUAACCCUUCGCAUGCUCGUGAUGCGGAAUCAGCGCACGUAUAAUAGACGUGGGCGAACAACCGUGAUGAUAGGCUCGUUGGAAUCGAACCAUACCACCCUUUGUAUGAGUUAACAUACGGAACCUCUGCACACGUGUGAUAGACGUGGGCGAAACAACCGCGAUGAUAGGGUCCCUUGAAUAGAACUCCCUAUCAACCCUCGCAUACUCGUGAUGCGGAACUCGGCACACGUAUGAUACACGUGGCGAAGUGCUGGGGGUUAGCAAGAUAACCAAUAAGUAAUAGCCACCUGAAGCAACCCAAAAUCCCCUAGGUCCUCUCGUGCUAAAGUCAUCCUUAACAAUCAUACGAGAUUUUUCAACAUUUUUCUUGCAAAUUUUAUUCAGAAAGAACGUGUUUUAGGACCCAUCGUGUUCUCUGUCCUGCUAAACCAGCUCUGAUACCAGCUGUGGUGGAACCACCUCGGAUUAACUUAACUAAAGCACGGUUAAGCCGCUUGACAUGCGACACUCAUGCCUUAAUCAAGUUAACUCGAUGUGCCGUCGGAUUUCAUCCGAUUUAACCACUUAACAGGACUGAGUUAGCAUGACCCACACGAAGGUGAGUGGUUCCAGAGAAUACAACAGAUUCACCAUUAGAUUAACAAGUGGUUACACACUUGGUUAUAAAUCAGAGUUCUACAAGUUCUGAAAAAAACAACAGACGAUAAAACAAGCGGAAGCUACUCGUCGGGGUCGGACGUCUCUGGUGAGGCCAGCCAGGACAUCAGUGAUCCCAUUCCCCACCGUCCGAGGAAGGAUCCCACUCGACCGUCCAACCCGGAGGGAGUUGGGGCGGCCAAGAGCCAACAACAAGCUCAGAAGCUGCAACUUCACCUGAAAAGAGAAGCCACAAACAAGGCUGAGCUUCUAAGCCCAACAAGACUUAACCGCCCGGUGGGAAAAACUACUCCACCACUUCUAGACAUGCAAGGCUCUUUGGCUGAGGGAUUUGUUUGCCAAAAGCGACUAUGUUAGGUCCUUGCUUUCAAGUUUUAGCUCAAAUUCUAAGUUCAUUAACCAGUCUACAUUUGCAUCUUACUCUAAGCAAACAUAGAUCCAACUUUAUGUAUAUAAGCUACUCAUCAAGACCAUGUCAUCAUCAGACUCUUUCAUUACUCAGUGUAGCAUAGCAAUCAAGCAGUCUCAAACUGUGAGAGGCAGAUGAAUCGAUUCGAGUUCUUUAACCAUGCAUGGUGAACCUAACCUCACGACAUCCGCGCACCACCGAGGGUCGCUUCCUGUGUCGGCCUUCCCCAUCAAUUCCCUAACCCGUGUCAGGCCCACUCCCUUUGGUGCAAGGUUCCACAGACCCGGCCUCUGCCGUUCUGUGACCACACUUACCACCACGUGCGGCUGCAGGGGAACUUCGUUCCAAGGACAGUGGGACGACCGCUCACGUCUAGGUUCAAUCAGGUACUAGGCUUCCCCAUCCCAUACUGAGUAUGAGGUUAGUACUUUCAAACACUUGAUCACGAACACCACCACUGUCGGGUCUUAACAGAUUCCAUAGACAGACGGGGCGAUCAGCCGACCACCAAAAGAGUUAACCAAAACCCUGCCCCGUCCAUCGUCCUUAUAGUUGUAACAGAAGCGGAAAAACAACCAACUCCUAUAGCUCGCGAGUGACAGGGAAUCACUCGGCUUUUACCGAUUCCUAUUUAAGCAUAGCAACUACUUGGCCCAACAAACUAGUGUUCAGAUCACAAGAACUACGGCAUGCAUCUAUGGUUGCAAACAACUCCUAUACGUAAAUGCACAAACACGAGAAGGAAGGCAUGUGCAAGUUUAGAAAUUUAGGGUUCAUGCUCCGGGGCUUGCCUUCAAGCGGAGGGGAGGGAAACUGUUCUUCAGCUGGGGCGGCUUCGGCUUCUGGGAUUUGCAGCUCAGCUACAGCUCCGUCUUCGGGCGUCGGGUGUAGCUCGUAGACGCCGUCAGCAAGAUGUAACCCUACACGAAUGCAAUGCAGGAGUUAGUGUUUAGACGGCUAUUUCAACAACACUUGCCGUUUAAGCUCGAACACUUGUAGCAAGGCUACAGAAAAGGUGGGGAAGUUUGCUUUAGUUGGUGGAGAGCAAGAUAAAAGGGUCGGAUGGGAAUAGACUUGUGGUCUGACCCUUAAGCUUUAAGGGAUAACUGUGUUCAGGGUCCUCAGACUUGACACAGAGAAAUCCCGAUCUUUUACACAGAUACCCUCGGGUCAAGGAAACAGAUACAGUCGAGUCCUCGGGCGAGGCGGAAAAGGGUCGGCGGAACAGACAGGGUCGGGCGAGACGGAAAGAGAGGUCGGGCGAACCGGAAAGGGGUCGGCAGCUUACCUUCGGUUUAUAGGUGAAGCUUGGGGUCGGGAAGGAGCAGACUUGGGCGGAAGGACUUAAGCACUAAGGCUUGGGUGGCGGCGAUGUCCGGCGGUGCUCUAGCGGCGGCGGAGCUUCUUGUGGGCAACAAGGAAGCUCUAGCACAGCGCGGAGGGGCAGACGGCUGGGUGGACUGGGGAGAAGCGGACUUGAGCGGAGAGGGGAACUUCUCAAGAGUUUUUAGUGGGAUUGCUCAAGUGUGCUCCGAGUAGGGGCGGUGAAAUAGCGAAGGCGAAGGAACUUCGGUGGAACUCUGGCAUUCCCUUUUUAUAGCUGCGCGGGAGAGAGAGUGUUGGAGCAGCACGAAGACCAGAAGAAAAGGAUGGAGUGCGCUGCCAUGGCGGCGAUUGAGCGGCGUAGGCGCAGUUUUGCCGGGGUUGAGAUUUGGCGGAGGCGGGCGUCGUCGAGCGGCGGAUUUGAUUGGUGUGACAGGGAGAAAGGUGCUGCAAGCGAGGUUGCAACAGGCGAAGUGAUAGGGCGAACAGUGUCGUGGUCGAGCACGAAACAGCGGCAUUGCCGGAGCACGGCACUGGUGGGGCGAGAAUAAGGAGCUGUUGCUGCCGGAGUCGGGGUUGGCGAGGGAGGAAUCAUCGCGUAGCGAGUUCAUGGGCGGCACGACUGUGGAGAGGUGGCGGAAAAGUCGGAAGGCAUCGGGUCUUGCAGCCGAUGAUCCGACGAGAUGAUGGGCGCGAGCCGUGAGGCGGUCUGACGCAGCAGCGGCAAAGCUCUGCCAUGGCGGCGAUGGGGCACCAUGGCGCGGCCGGCGAGGGCGCGAGCGAGACGAGGCGUUGCAGAAAGGGUUGUAGAGGGGCUUCCGCUGCGAUUGGGGAGGAGGGCGUGGGAAUCCAUUCUGUCGCGGCCGACGACUAGGCGAAGCGGCGGGCGUCGGAGGGAUUAAGCCACGCGGCGGGGAAGCUCUGAAGCGGCACAUGCUGCGCGAGUGCGUUUGCCUCGGAAGAUCCGGGGAAAAGAUUUGCGGGUCCACCGGUCAGUCUCGGUUGUUCCACAUCUCCAAGAUUGAAAGGAACACCGCCGUUUGAGAUUUAGAAGGAACCGGUGUUUCUGGUUGGGUUUCCAGGGGUGGGGACCAGAAACUGGAGGUUGAGCACUUAAGCUCAAGGGAGCUGAGUCAGCGGAAAUUAGGGACUCGAAUUAGGAUUAAGUCAGCUGAUUAAACCUGGGUCGUUACACUGACGCUCCUCGGGCGUCACCGGCUCGGGGAGUCGUCGGAGUAGGGCCGCCGCAGCGGUGAUGUUCUGGUUGGCGCGGGUGAAGAGCUGAGGGCGCUCUUCGUCUGCACAGAUGCGCUGCUGGACGUCGCGCGCACGUUGUCGUGCCCCGCCUUCGUGGCGGGGGCACUCGACCUCUUGGCGGGGCGCCGCGCGCGCCUCCGGUUGUCGAGGUCGCACCGGGGCCUUGGCGAUCGCUCCGGUUGUAGCCGCGGCGCGCGGUGGGGGAGUCCUCUGCCUCCCCUCGGCGCCAUCAUCAUUGGACGCCUUGGAGUGCACGUCGAUCAUGAGGCACUCACGCGAGGGGGUGGUGGCUCCCACUGUUGGAGCCAGCGUUGGAAAUUGUCCUCACCACACCCACUAGCUCGUUGCUCGUAGGCGACGCGGUCAUGGACCACGCCAAGAGACGACCGUAGGUCGUCCCGGCAUUGCGCAGCCCGAAGAGACGCCCCUCUGAGGGAAGUCCUCUGGCGCGCGCCUGGCCGCUCGCCGUUAUCCCGGAGGCGGAGUCGGGAAUGGUGGGAUGAGCGGGCAAGACGAGGAGAGGGAUAAGCUCGAUCCCCUCCCCGAUGGCGAGGAAGUCCAGACUCCCGAAGCGGAUCAGAGAGCUCGGGGCGAAGCUGGCAUCGUGGCUGGCCAUAUCAAGUCGGUGUUGUAUGCGCAAAGGUCCCCUACCUGGCACGCCAAGCGCCAAGUGUCGUUGUCAAGAUUAGCGGGUCAAGACUUAGACUAGUAAAUUUCUUUUAUGCGCGUGAGGCUUGAGAUGGUGGCGUGAGAGACACGGGGUUUAUACUGGUUCGGGUAAAGGAAAUACCCUACGUCCAGUGUUAGGAGCUGCUCAUGUUGCCCACGCGGGGUUCUGUAGUAGGGGUUACAGAAGUGCGAGAGAGGGAACUGGUCCCAGGUCUCUUGGGUGUGCACUGAUGCUCUAGAAGGGUGUGUGCGUGUGUUCUGUUGGCUUGGAAGCAUUGUGGUGCCUUUUGUUGUCCUUCCAGCCCCCCUGUCUCAGGCCCCCGAUUCCCCUUUUAUAGCGUAAGGAGACCACCGGGGUUACAGGCGAGACCGAGUAUGGGGAGAACUAAAGAGAUAAACAUAGCUAGGUAAAAAUACAACACCAAAAGGGGGGAAACAAGUUCCCAGGUCACCGGCGUCCUCACCGGCCUUCGACUUCCGCCGGCGCAUUUGCCGGAGGAGGGUGGCCGCCAUCGCGUCCUGUCGAUGGCUUCCUCGGCGACUGUAGCCGCCGGGCGUGAUGAUGGCAUUUCGUCGUGACCCUCGUGUCCGUUGGGGGAGGCAGCGGAUCCCGCCAUCCUGCUAACGGCCCGCGGAAGGCGGCCAUCGCAUCCCUGCCGCCGGGCGCGCGGGGCACGAGAACGGGCGAGGCUCCCCCCUGCUUCGGGCGACGCAGGCCAUGAGUGCCCUGUGGUGAAUGGGUGGAGGCCGCAGCUACUGUAGCUUGUACAGUGCGGCCGCGCAUGGGUACUUGCAACAGGUUGCGUGAGGGGCGCGGGCAUCCUUCUUCCUGACAGACCUGCGACGCAUUUAUGGCGAGAUCGACAGGGGGACCCACGAGAUAUGCGCCCGAGGCGGAUACUCGUCUGGCGGGCCCGGGUCAGCCCGACCCCUUACACUUGGGGUCGGGCGAGGCGGAGCGUGAUUCUUGCCCCCCGUGUUGGGCCGGAGGCAGGCUUGUUACCUUAAGUGGGCCUGGGCAUUUACGUUUUGUUGUUUCCAUGGGCUUGGGGAAAUCGUUAAUAUUUCCCCCCAACACUAAUGUUAAUGUUAGCAUUAGUAUUGGGAUGUAACACCACCCGGUACUAAAGGUGCCCCUUUUUUCCCCUUUAGUACUGAGUGGCGUUAUGACCUGGUACUAAAAGGUCUAGAACUUUUUAGUACCGGGUCAUAACACCACUUGGUACUAAAGGGACACUUUUAGUAUCGGGUGGUGUUAUGACCCGGUAUGAAAGGCCCUCCACGCGUUACUUUAAAAGGAUAGAAUAUCUACCUUCAUCACAUGUGCUGUGUAGGUGGGAUGGUAAGGAAGCCUAUGAAGCUUGAGGUCGUGGGUUUGAAUCCCACAGACCGCACAUGACGCGAGACUUUAUUUUUUGACGCAAAACAAGUGUUACCAACCGGUACUAAAGGGAUCCCUUUAGUAUUGACGCAAUACUAAAGGCCACCCUUAGUACCGACACAGCAAUACCUGUUGUGCAACCGGUACUAAGGAGGGUUUGGAACCCAUACAGAAAGCGGAAUCCCCAGUAGUGAGUGAAGAAGCUAUCUCGGUGGGGGAGUGAAGGCACGUAGGCCUAUGAUCACGUAUGUUUGUUUGGGGUGGUUCCGAGUGAACGUGGAAGGUUUGUUUUUAUGAAGGCCGGGGUGUUUUGUUCCUUAAAAAUGGUUUUUAAAAGUGAAUUUUCACCCUUAAAAUAGGAGCGGAUGGAGCGAUUUUCAGGGACGGUUUAUAAGGAGCAUCGCUCCUAGAAAUUAAACCACCAAACUAGGAAUAAUCCUUUAACCAUCUGAUCCCCCUCUCUUAUCCUCUCCUCCACCCACACAUCCUCUCUUCUCUGUCACUUAUCCUCCCAUGCACUGAUCCUCAUGCAUUCCUCCUCUUUCCCCAUGUUUUCCUCCACUCCCACGUAAGAGCACACAAGGACGAGCGAUCACAGGCUGGAGGUUGGUGGGCGGGUGGGCUGCUCCGGCGUGGUGGCAGGUGCGGGCGUGCGGCGGCGCGCCUAGCUCAGGUGCCGGAGGUGUGGAAAGUACUUUUUUCUGCACUAAAAAUUCACAAUUUUUUUCUGCACUAAAAAUUCACAUAACCUUCAAAAGUAGUCUAGUUUGGUGAAUUUAGUUUUAAGGUUUAAGUGAUGCAUAUGUGUUUUCGUGCAAAAUGGGUUCAUCUGCAUCUGUUUUAUCACCACAAAAGUUUCAUGAAUUUUAUAGGUGAUUUGAAGGUCGUUUUGAUUAAAAGAAAAGAGGUUAGAUCAAAUCCACGGGUUACUGUGCGAGUUAACUGACAAACAGACAAAAGUGUCAAAUAAGAAGUUUAACUUAAUGUUUAAUAAGGAAGUUGAAAUUUUCAAUGUCAAAUUAUAAAGCUCCAUAUAUUUUAACGGUAUCAAAUAGUGAAUUUUCACUUCCACAAGAAGACUGAGAAAACCUAUAUGGGAUCAAGGCGAAGCCUUGAGAAUUGGGUUCCAAACAAACCGAGGCAGGUGGAACCGUUUUUUUUCCCACAAGGUGGAACUGGUUAAGUACUGCUAGGAGCAUAGCUAUUAGUCUAUUAGCAAGGACCGCACACAAUAGGCUUCGGCGAAAAACAUCAUUAAGGUGCUAGGACAGGAGGGAACCAAGAACCAAUUGUAAUCUCUUACCACAUUAGUGUUAUAAAGACUAUUGUGCUUGUGCCCCGAAAUAUUUUUAGCAUACAGUGGUUGCGAGGAUAUAAUAAUAGCGUAAAUUGUAAACUGAUGUUUGGUCCCCCAUGUGUAAACCAAAUUUUGAGGAGUAUAAAGAUAGAUCGGUUGAUCUUAAUUAUUUCAUUGAUGAUGCGUUUAUAUCUUGGAAUAUCAUAGUCACUUGCUGAUCAGAGUGUGCUGCAGUUGGCCGUCUGGAAGGAGAGCUGGCCCUUGCCGAUGUCGAAGAGGAGGUGCAUGUUCUGCUGCUGGAAGUUGCCGAUAAUGCUUAUAUCGAACGCUUCCAUGAUAGCCAUGCAGGCCGUCGACUUGUCUAUUGGCGCCCAGUAGUUCUCCGGAGGCAGGGCCAU
rnacentral:lncRNA from 1 species